GAACGAUAAACAUGAUACAUGCGUACACGUCUAAAAAUGGAUCACCUUUCCACGCCACGCGCUUGAACCAGAAGCAUAUCUAGUAGCUGUCACAGGAAGUCGUCCUGUAUCAACUCUUUAGAUCCGCUCCACCACCAGAUCUAUUUAUAGAUCUGUAAUGUUACUGUAGUAUAUGUUGUCCACGGGAAAACAAAAGCUUUAAAAUACACAAAAAUAAUUAUCGAAUUUAGGGCACUAAGGUGAACCACGAUGGAACUUAGUGAUGGGGUAAGAGUGAACGUUGCUAUGUGAUGUCUUGAUUUAUCCAUUUUACUUUAGGUUUGCUUUCACUUUCAGUUAUUUGCUAUUUGUUAUUUUUCUUCAUAACAUUAGAGUUAUCUUUCUUUGGUUCCAAGUGAAAUGGAUGAUCCAUGGAAAGAUCUGACGGAUCCAAUUUUAUUGACACUAUUCUCCUACCUGAAUGUACAAGAAUUAAACAAUGCUGCCAGGACUUGCAAGAAUUGGUAUCGUAUUGCUCAAGAUGAAAGUUUAUGGAGAAAUCUGACUUUAAAAAGACUUGGAUGUCAAUAUCUGCGCAAGGAGGAUAGUUGGAAAUUGGAGCUGAAACGUUUAA